rnacentral:rRNA from 1 species
GUGGGGAAUAUUGCACAAUGGGCGCAAGCCUGAUGCAGCGACGCCGCGUGAGGGAUGACGGCCUUCGGGUUGUAAACCUCUUUCAGUAUGGAACAAGGAUCCUUCUUUUGGGGGGUUUGAGGGUACGUGCAGAAGAAGCGCCGGCUAACUACGUGCCAGCAGCCGCGGUAAUACGUAGGGCGCGAGCGUUGUCCGGAUUUAUUGGGCGUAAAGAGCUCGUAGGCGGUUUGUCGCGUCUGCCGUGAAAUUUCCUGGCUUAACUGGGGGCGUGCGGUGGGUACGGGCAGACUGGAGUGCGGUAGGGGAGACUGGAAUUCCUGGUGUAGCGGUGGAAUGCGCAGAUAUCAGGAGGAACACCGGUGGCGAAGGCGGGUCUCUGGGCCGUUACUGACGCUGAGGAGCGAAAGCAUGGGGAGCGAACAGGAUUAGAAACCCUAGUAGUCC